GCUGUGAUGAAGAUUUGUGGCACUGAUCUACUUGAACUGAUUUAGUCCACAAUUGUCCUCUAAGAAGUUCUGAGCUU
ensembl:snoRNA small nucleolar RNA SNORD61